AGGGGUGUAGCUCAGUGGUAGAGUGCAUACUUAGUAUGCACGAGGUCCUGGGUUCCAUUCCCAGUACCUCUG
rfam:Camelus ferus unplaced genomic scaffold scaffold458, whole genome shotgun sequence.